rnacentral:rRNA from 1 species
AACGAACGCUGGCGGCGUGCCUAACACAUGCAAGUCGAGGGAGAAAGCCCGCAAGGGUUAGUAAACCGGCGAACGGGUGCGUAACACGUGGAUAAUCUACCUCGGUGACCGGGAUAACUGGCCGAAAGGCUUGCUAAUACCGGAUAAGCCCACGACGUCUUCGGACGACGAGGGAAAAGGUGGCCUCUGCAUGCAAGCUAUCACAUCGAGAUGACGUCCG